GACGAACGCUGGCGGCGUGCUUAACACAUGCAAGUCGAACGGAAAGGCCCUGCUUUUGUGGGGUGCUCGAGUGGCGAACGGGUGAGUAACACGUGAGUAACCUGCCCUUGACUUUGGGAUAACUUCAGGAAACUGGGGCUAAUACCGGAUAGGAGCUCCUGCUGCAUGGUGGGGGUUGGAAAGUUUCGGCGGUUGGGGCUGGACUCGCGGCUUAUCAGCUUGUUGGUGGGGUAGUGGCUUACCAAGGGUUUGACGGGUAGCCGGCCUGGGAGGGUGACCGGCCACAUUGGGACUGAGAUACGGACCAGACUCCUACGGGAGGCAGCGGUGGGGAAUAUUGCACAAUGGGCGGAAGCCUGAUGCAGCAACGCCGCGUGCGGGAUGACGGCCUUCGGGUUGUAAACCGCUUUCGCCUGUGACGAAGCGUGAGUGACGGUAAUGGGUAAAGAAGCACCGGCUAACUACGUG
rnacentral:rRNA from 1 species